AGGGUUCGAUUCUGGCUCAGGAUGAACGCUGGCGGCGUGCCUAACACAUGCAAGUCGAACGAAGCACUGCGGAUGGAGAUUCGUCAAAAUCUGCUUUGACUUAGUGGCGGACGGGUGAGUAAUGUGUGAGCAACCUGCCUUUCAGAGGGGGACAACAGUUGGAAACGACUGCUAAUACCGCAUAAUGUAUUGGAAGGGCAUCCUUUUUGAUACCAAAGGAGCAAUCCGCUGAAAGAUGAGCUCACAUCUGAUUAGCUAGUUGGUGGGGUAACGGCCUACCAAGGCUGCGAUCAGUAGCCGGACUGAGAGGUUGAACGGCCACAUUGGGACUGAGAUACGGCCCAGACUCCUACGGGAGGCAGCAGUGGGGAAUAUUGGGCAAUGGGCGAAAAAGCCUGACCCAGCAACGCCGCGUGAAGGAAGAAGGUCUUCGGAUUGUAAACUUCUUUUAUGAGGGACGAAGGACGUGACGGUACCUCAUGAAUAAGCCACGGCUAACUACGUGCCAGCCGCCGC
rnacentral:rRNA from 1 species